GUGGGGAAUAUUGGGCAAUGGGGGAAACCCUGACCCAGCAACGCCGCGUGAAGGAAGAAGGUUUUCGGAUCGUAAACUUCUAUCCUUGGUGAAGAUAAUGACGGUAGCCAAGAAGGAAGCCCCGGCUAACUACGUGCCAGCAGCCGCGGUAAUACGUAGGGGGCAAGCGUUGUCCGGAAUGAUUGGGCGUAAAGGGCGCGUAGGCGGCCUGGUAAGUCUGGAGUGAAAGUCCUGCUUUUAAGGUGGGAAUUGCUUUGGAUACUGUCGGGCUUGAGGGCAGGAGAGGUAAGCGGAAUUCCCGGUGUAGCGGUGAAAUGCGUAGAGAUCGGGAGGAACACCAGUGGCGAAGGCGGCUUACUGGACUGUAACUGACGCUGAGGCGCGAAAGUGUGGGGAGCAAACAGGAUUAGAAACCCCAGUAGUCC
rnacentral:rRNA from 1 species